rnacentral:lncRNA from 1 species
AGAAUAUUCCAAACAUUUAUUAUGCAUUAAAAAUACUGCAAACAAGCCAUACAGUUCAUUUCACAGUAACCUAAACAACAUUGUUCAAGAACUUGAGAAGUCAACAAAGAACAGUGCAGUUCAAACAGUGACAACAGUUAUCUUAAUGCCAUGGGUCCCUUUCUUUGCCAGCAGUUCUUUCCCGUUUACAGUGUGAACAACACAAGAUACAGCUUGCUAUCUUAUUUAACUAAGAGAACUCCCUUUCACCUGUGCUGUUCCCACAAACAUACCACUUUAGAGAAGUGCUAUUUCUAGGAAUGAAAUUUCUUUUCCUAACGUAGCCAAAGUGCAGGCUGAGGUGGGCACAAUGCACACAAGCCAGCGGUGGUCCCUAUUUUCAAGAUAUCUAUGUGCAGAACCCUGUACCAAAUCUUCGGAUAAAGUUCAAAAGUAAACUUGAAACAGAGGGAUAUCCUUUCUGAACAGACAGAAAACCAAAAACGUUCAGUGUGAAAGUGGUUUUGAAAUGAACAUAAACACCUGGAGCACUGUGACACCUUUUCCUCUUUCUCAAUCAGUUAGACAAAGGAUCCUUCGCUACUGGUGCCCCAGGCAGACACCCAGGGAAACCAGUCAUAAGGAAUUGGCCCCAAGUCCUAAGUUCAGGUCAUUGUCAGCUGUGUGAAAACUUGGAAAUGUAUAUACCUUAGAAGCAAUUCUGCUGAUUUCCUGCUGAUCUCCCCCCUUUUGUGUUGUGAAGUGUACUAUUAUUAUUACUAGCAUGCUUGCUAUACAGGGAACAUGACAGCUGCAAUUUUAGUCCUCUUUCCUAAUAUGUGAUCAUUUUGACAGAAAAUUCUGUAUCACGGAGUCUUAGGUCUCUGUGAAAAAGAAACAGCCUUGUCAUGUAAACAGCCAAAAAUACAACAAAAAUUACUGUGCCCUUUGCAGACGUUCCUUCUGAGCACCAGUCUUUUGUACCAGCAGCUAAAGACACCGGUACAGAAGCCCACAAGCAAUUAAUCUCUCCAGCCAUAUGGUGGAGCACCUCUCUUAGGUCUCAUGCACAAGCAAUACCACUUCAUAACUCUCCUUACUGGAGGUCCAGCUUACCCAUUUGAUCCACGGUACAGUUUAAGGGCACAAAGAAAUGGACUGUAACUCAGCUGGUAGCCGGUAAACUGACCCCAUGGCUGAGCCACAACUGCAGACUUGCUUCAAAGCUGGUCAGGGUGAUAGGUCUCUUCAUUUGACAGGGUGAUAGGCUUGUCCAUACACUUUUUAAACCACAUUUUCGAGUAAAAUCCUCAGUGCAUAUGGCAGCACACUUUUCAUACCAGAAUAGUUGUGGUCCUUUGGUGUGGGAUUUCUAAUGUCAUAGUGUGAAACACCUUCAUACCGUUAAAUAUGUGCCCACGCUGAUGAGGCUGUAGUGCCUUAGUUACACCACUACAGUUGAAGUGGUACAACUUUACAGAGAACAGAAGCGCUUAGAAAUUCAACCCAUAAUUAAACUCGUGUUUUCUCAAAAUAAAAUAGAAAAAAACAACUACACAAAAAGAGAAAUAAAGGAAAUAAGCAGAACUGUCUCUAUUAUUAAAGUAUUCUCUUUGGAGGUAUCAAAUUGCUUUUAAAAAGAGUAAAAAACUGGGCAUACAAAAGCUAUUUUCUUUAAUCCAAUAUAUGCACAAGGAGCACUGCUGCCUAAACUUUUUCAUGUAUUUUUUCAACUUUCACAAACAAUCUUUCCAGAUCAUUCCUCAGGUCAUCUAUAGAGCUCUUGACGGACUCCAAGUUGUUCUCAUUAUUCUCAAUUUUCACAGAGUAGGAGACUAAACUAUCCACUGCAGUUCUAAUCAUUUUCAAAUCAGAAUCAACCUGGCUGACGGAAGAUCUCAGUUCAUCCACAGAGCCUUCCACGGAAUUAAAUUUUUCAAGAUAUUCUUGAGAAUGUGCUUCACCCAUCUGAAGACUUCCUUGAUUCAGCAAAAUACUAAUUUGCUUUUGGACAUCCUGAAGGGCACCUGAGGACGGCAAGUCACUGAUACUUCUUCUUAAGUCCUCUACAUCAUUGUACAGCGAGGUCUGUGAUUCACCAAGAUUUUUCAGAACAUCUGAGACUGAAGUUAUGUCCAUAUCUGUGAUUCCCUGAAGACCACUCAUGCUUUGUUCUAGAGUACUGAGCUUGUUGUCAUAUUCUGCCUCCUUAGAAAGGAAUGAUUGUAACUUUUCACCAUGCUGAGAAGCAAUAGAACUUACAGACUUUAAGCUCUCCUCUAUGUGUCUCAAUCGAGACUCCAGUCCUUCGCUGUUAUUUUCAGAAGUUUCUAAUGCUUUUCUAAAGAGUUCGUUUUCUUCCCAUUUGCUGAGCUCAGCUUUAAUAUGCAGUAAAUCUUCAUCAAGUCUUUUAAUGUCACCGGGGAGCUGCAUAAUAGACUCCUCUGUUCUCAGAACUUUCUCUUGUAAAGCUUUUAAUGAGAGGUGUUCAGUGUCUGCAGCCUCUUUGAAUUUCUCAUGCUCCUGUUUGAGGUUGACUAACUCUUUCACUUCAGUAUAAACAUCAGAUUCCAUGGAGUUUAUUGUAUUCUUCAAGGUCUCUAUGUCUUUUUCUUUGGUUUUCAUGGAUGCUUGCAUCUCACCAAAAGCAUCCUUUAGCACCUUUAUUUCAUGCUUAUACAAAUCUGCUUUAUCUAGUGAAUCAACUUUUGCUUUCAUAUUUUUUAUUUCAUCUUGGCUCCUUUGCUGGACUUCAGUGAAUACAGCGAUGUUAUCAUUGAUAGACUUGGUUAGUUCCGUUAGCCUCUCUUCCACUGUGUUUUCCAGUGAUGUAAAGUCUCGUUCCCUUGCAUCCUUCACCAUGUGGAUGCCAUCAGACAGGUCUUUCAAAAUUUCAUUUUGCAGCUUCUGAAGCACUUCGCUGAUCCUAUUAAUUUCAUUCUCCCCUUGCUUAACCGCCUUCUCAGUAACCUCUUGCUUCUGCUGAGCAAUUUUCAUCAUGGAUUCAAAAUCUCCAAACGUGGCUUGAAGGGAACGCACCUUCUGCACCACGGCGUCCAGCGUGGCGGCCAGCUCUUGCCGCUGCCGCCCCGAGGCCUCCCUCUCGCGGGCGCUCCGCCCGACCUCCUCCCGCAGCUGCCGCACGUACCAGCCGGCGGGCAGCGCGGCGCCCAGCACCACUGCGGCGCCCAGCAGCAGCGCCCAGCCGCGCCGCGGGCCGGCUGCGGAGCGGCCCCCUCCGCCCCCCGCGCCGGACCGGCCGCCCCGGCCGUGAGACGCCGCCGCCGCCGGCUUCUUGGCCGCCGCCUCCUCGGAGCCGCCCGGCUGCGCGCCCCGCUCGUUGGCGGCGGCGACGGCGGGCGGGCUGCCCCCCUUGGGGCCCCGGUGCUUGGCGGCCGACAUGGCGGGACGGGGCCGACCCCGUGCGCCGAGCGGGAGCAGCGGGAGCGAAGGAGGCAGGAGGGGAGCGAAGGCGGGAGGAAAGGAAGGAGGGAGGGAAGGAGGGAGGCCGCCGCCGUGCGAUGGGGCGGGGGUGCCGGCCCGGGCAGCGCCCGCUCCCCGCCCCGCCCCGCGAAACCGCCACGCACGCGGGGCCGGGCCUGGGCCCCCGCGGGGCAGCCGGGCGCCACGCACACGGGGACCGAGCCGUCUCGGGGGGCGCGGCCAUCCCCAGCCCGGAGGGGAACGCGGCGCUGCCCCGCGCGGCACCGAAGCUCUGUGCGGGCUACAGGACAGACCGUGCUGCAGGAAAACGUACGUGUGUCAGAAACACGCCUCGAGUCCAUCAGCAUCGUUCCUCUUUUUAAUUUCUUUUGCACUGGUGGCACCAGUUAGCAUAGCGACUGUGGGCUGAUAGGCACCCAACUGCUCUGCCAGCUCACUGAGAAGUGUAAGGACGAUCUGGGCGUAGACCUUUCAGUGUACCCCCUUAGUCAGUGAUGGAUUACAGGGACGGGGGGUUGGUAACCUUUCAGGUAAAGAUGCCCCUUUACAUAAAAGUGUCCACACAUCAGGUUGGAUAUGAGGAACAAUUUCUUCUCAGGAAGAGAAGAGUGGUCUUUCCAACUUUAAUGAUUCAAUGAUCACACACAGUGCGAGGCAAAGGUGGUCAGUCACAGCAUUUGACAUUUCUAACUGUGGGUUAUAGUUCUGGAAGUGAGUCCUAACUCUGACAAAAAGCAACUAAGGUAUGCUUUCUUUUAUCCUCAACAUCCAGGCAGCAGCAAUACAGACUUCUUUGUAUAUGCCGAUACAAUACAUCACACUUGCAGUUGCUGGGCUUUCUUCAGUUCUUGAACCCCCUGUGCUGAACAGUACUUCAUUGUUCCCUUUGACAGUGGAAGCAAGGUUUAUUCUGUCCACAGAAUCACAGAAUCAUCUGAGUUGGAAGGGAUCCCCUUCCGAGACCAUCUAGUCCAACUCCCCUGCAAUGAACCAGGACACCUACAGGUAGAUCAAGGUGCUCAGAGCCCCUCCACUCUGACCUUGGAUGUCUCCUGGGAUGGGGAUCCACCACCUCUCUGGGCAACCUGUGCCAGUGCCUCACCACUCCUACCAAAAAAGCUUUUCUUCUGUUUAGUGAGGUGCCUGAAGAGUCAGAGCAAAAUGCAUAUUGGAAGAUGCUAUUCCAGAGCUGGUAAAGGACAGCGUGCAGCAGGUGGUGACUGCAUAAAGCUGACAGCUUCCAAUCCUUGGAGCCAGGAUUCUUGACUCAGGACAGUGUUGUGACAAAGCAUCCGAUGUGACAGAGUCUGUAAGUGGAGAAUCCUAAAUAGCAAAACAUGCAAAAAUGUCUUCUCUGCUGCUUUGUCCCAACGCUUACCUUUACUUCAGACAGAAAUGAGGCCACUCAGUUUUUAAUGCCUCCUUGUUUCUCCCCAGUAGACCUGCUGAGUAACUAGGUCAUCAGGAUGGACUCUCAAGGAUUCUUUUUUAUUUUAUCGUUUAAUCGCCAGAUGGUGAACAAAGUAAGCUGAUUCUUUAUUGCUUCUUUCUUUCACAGCCAUUAGGGAUGAGGCUUACACGGUAGACUUGUAUCAAUGCUUCUGCCUUGAGUUUUCUCAGGAGGUUCAUAAGGAGUAACAUGCAAAGCAGUCAUGGAGUUAGACCUGGGCUAAGAGCAAACAACCGUCUAUCAGUAGUGCUGGUGUUGAUUUCAAAAGGAUUUGCUGGUUUGUUUUUUAUGAAUAAUGCAACGAAAAGCUCUUGGCAGUUGGUUACUCCCUCGGGCCUUGCUCUUCUUCCCUGCAUUUUAAUAUGUAUCUUUCUAUGUAAAGCUAACUUUGAAAAAGUCUGUGUUCAUGUCUCUAUCUGUUAUUAUUUGCCUGUAUUAAAGAAAUGUGUGGGAUGAAAGUGAAGAGCAAUUCUGUGCAAGCCAUACAGUCAAUCAAUGAAAAUAACCCUUCAAAGCUCUACUCAGGCUUCUGGGCAGAGCUCUUUCAUACGUAGUUUCGGUGUCUCGAAGACAUAACAAAGUGUUAGAAGCAAGAAGUUCUUUCCAGUCCUGUGCCUAAGCUGCUGAGCUACUAAUGCAAACUUGAUUUAUUUCCUUCUUGUGCUUUUGUGUUAUGCUGAAAUGCAUUUGUUUGCCAAGAAUCAUUCCAUGAGUGGAAGUUCAUUAUGCAUACAUGCAAGCUGUAACUCCUUGCAAGAGAAAAGCUUGGGGUGCUAAUUUAUCUAUUCCUCUAUUUGAUUACAACAAGAAAUUCAACCAAGUCUCAUCUUGGAAGACAUUUUCUUGUUAGUUUGUUUUCACUUUGAUUUCCAGUACAUUCCUUUUUUUUUCUUUAAUCAAGUUUGGAUUGAGUAUUCCUCAGAUACAGUGAACCCUAAGGCAGGAUCACACAACCCCAGAUUUCAGACAUCUGAUCUUUAUGCCAAGGAUUUGUAUGAACCAAAGUGUUCAGCUUGUACGCAGUGUUCCACUUAGUAACUACUAGCAUGGGUCAUGAAAGGAAAAAGUAACAGUUAAAU